rnacentral:lncRNA from 1 species
CCUGGAGCAUUACAGUGAUAAUCAUACCUUCAUUCUUUGCAAUUGUUCUCUAGUGAAUGCAUGUUGUUUUUGUAGUGACUGAUAUUUUAUUUUCACACUGAUCAGCUGCCGUUCCAUUUCUGCCCUACGGUCCUCCACCUCAGCAAAGAGAGAAUUGCCUUUACUUGUAGGGUCCAAAGAUUGCUGCACCACGUGAUCCAGCUGAACCCGAAGCUCCUGAUUAGCUUCACGAGCUUUCUCUAGUGCAUUACAGUAAGAAACAACUUCUUU